UUCGGCACGGCUCGGACCGGCCGUUUGCCACCUCUGCCUGCCAGUACCCAGGCAAAGAGGCAAAAUAAAAUGCAAACGAAACGGAGGGAAAGUUCAAAACAAAGGCGAGGGAGAUUAAAAACGCUGGAGAAGCAACCAUACCUAAACGUUAAACCCUUCCCCAACAAAUCAGCCUGGAUGACUGGAUCACUGGAUCAGGGCUUAACGAUCCAAUUAAAUUUCAUCAAACGUAUUUAGCUCGUCAUUUGUCAAGUGUUUCUUGAUUGGAAGAACCUGAGCAUUUGACCAGAUGAUAUCAUGAUGGGAGGCUACCUAGAAAAAUUGAUCAAAUGUUUAUAAUAUAAUGAGAGGAUGGGUGUACUGAUGAGCUAUAUCAGAAAGAUGGGACUAUAAAAGGGAAGACAGUCACUGGAGGAGUCCCAUUUACCUAUUUAUAAAGCCGCGGAUUGGGUAAUCGUCCUCAAUAUUGUUUAAAAUAUCAGGUUUGCCAUCUAAUAGAUAAGUGAUGGAUGCAUAGAACUAUAGAAGUGGUCCUGCCUAGAUUAAGAAAAUGAAGGGUAGAGUUGUUUUUUAUCUAGUUUUGUUGAGACGUGACCCAGUGAAUAAGGUAAGUCAGUUUGUUAGUCCCUUGUUAUGUACACUAACCCAGCCUCAUGUGCCAAGAAGUGAUCCAGAUAAAGAUGAAGUAAUACAUGGUUAGCUCAUUAAGGUACCAGCCAGGCAUAUAAUGCACUCUCACACAAUGAACUAGUAACCUUAUCCAAUAAGCUAUAUAUGUGUAUACAUAUCGUUGAUAUAUCUUUUAAGUUCUCAUCUAAUAUAGAAAAAGAAGUGUACUUGAAGGAAGUAAUCAACAUAAUGAGAACGUGGGUAUUGUAGUUUUUUACACCAACGAAGGACGCGUUAAAGAAUUGUUAUUGAGAAUCCGAGUACUGUAGUUUUUACACUGAAACAUUCUCUCAUGUGAAAUUUACUCUAUUUUUAUGUUUGAAACAAAUAGGUUCCCAGUGCGGAAUAAGCUAGUUUAUAGGUUUCGUGCUAUACUGCUUGUUAUCAGCUUUGUCAUUGUUUUAAUUAUUUUGAUGCAUUUUGGAGAUUUCCCUGUUCUCUGGCGAGAGAAGUGAGGUUAAUCUGGUUUGCCUUUCAAGUUCUGGCAUAUAAGAUAAGUAAAGAUGGUCAUUUUAAUGUGGUUUUUCCAUUAAAAAGCAGAAUUUUAUUUCAUCUGAGUUCUUUGCAGAAAGAAGUGAUAGUGUUGCUAAUAGCAAAGAUAAAAUGUACAUAUAUGAUAUAUGGAUAAAGAUAGGAGAACAUGUCCUCUACUGGAUUGUGCAUAUUGUGUUGGUCCAUUUUGGUGUGAACACAAAAUUAUCAUUGUGGUGAACAGUGAUGUUCACGAGAAUGUAGUUAAGGUUGGGAUCUGGAAUCUGACCACCACCACCAUCUCUGAGUUAAAAACACACUCUGUACGGACUGAAUAUAUUUGUUGUAAAGUAGAGGCUUUAGAUUUUUAAAUAGUUUUAUUUAAUUGGAUGGUGUUAUUCUGUCCUCUAGUCUCCAUGACUACCAAGUACCAACUAACUUAGCCAAAGCCAAACUUCGCCGUUAAGAACAGCCGAAGCUUUGUUUGAGCUUUCGGUAUCGAAUAUGUUAUAAGCCAAGGGGGGCUGGCAGACGUCUAGUCUUGGACUUAGACGGAAAAGACAUGCACCAAGUUCUAAAAUCUAAAUAAUUUCGUAAACUAAAGGGUGUUUGGGUGGUAGAUGGGAAUGAGAAUAAGAGGUAUGAGAAUGAACAUACGUGGAAAGAAUGAUUUAUUCAUCAAAUAGGAAUGAGUUUUCCAUUCCAUACUUGGAUGGUCCACAUCUCAGGGUCAGACGGCGAUGAGUUUGUGAUUUCUGUUAACCGGGCUCAUUAACUAUACAGCAAACAUCCCUUAAUUGGAUUAGGAAGGGAAGUGAUGGCUUAAGCUGCCAGCUACGCCGAGCCGAUUGGAAGAGAGAACAGCCUCUACGCAAAGGAAAAUGCACAUCAGCACAUGGGAGCAAGGUGAGAAGUGAACACCCGUCCAGCCCGGAAGAGAGCUAUAAUGGUACCAAUUUUCCCUAAGGCUCACACACCUACACGUGUGCACUUUUGAAACUCUCCACUCUUUAGCCCUACCAAGAAAAAACAAUAAAAAUCAGAACCGUACAUGAGCACGUUAAAACAAUUUAAAGUAACCGCCGAUACAUUCAAGCCCACUGUAUCGAAUACUCCCUCCAAAGUAAUGAGAAAGAGAAAGAAAAGUAGGUAAAGUGGUGGGACCCAUUAAUAUUUAAGUGAUAGAUUUGGAAAAGUAGAUGAAAGUAGUUGGUGGGUGGGGUUUUUAUAUUAUAAAAUUUUACUAUUUUGGGAAAGUUUUGAAAUGUAUACAAUUGAAUGGGACAUCCCGAAAAGGAAAGUGUAUAGAAAUCAAAGGGACGGAGGGAGUAACCAAUACCAUUGUGGCAAUGUAGGUGGAGUACGCUUCUUUAGAGUCUUAUCUUCACCGUUUUAUUGUACUUGUGAUAAGCUGCAGUGCAGUGCUUUCUGACUGGGGCCGUGCUUUGUUGUUUCGUUUAGUGCCUUAACAUCAUACUUUAAUUUCAUCGUUGAAAAUUUGGGCCAACUAAGUCAGAGAUUGCAUCAUCUAUAUUAAACGUGGCUAGAUUCAGAGUUAGACAGACUCACUGAUGUGCCCACAAUCCUUUGAUAUUUUCUCUUUGUAUUUUGUUACUGAAUAUUCUCAAGACAUUUGGAGAAGAGUCUGGUUUCAGAGUUAAGAGCAACUCCAGCCGCUUCUCUAUUUCAUGUCCUAAGUCCAAUUAUAAGGAAUAUGACAUAAAUUAGUGUUCCAGCAGUGUCUUAGAGGUGCCUUAAAUCAGUAGGAUCCUCAUUCCAUGCCUUAUUAGCCAUGCCUUAUUUGAUUUCUUUAAUAAAAAAAUCAUUUCUCUCUCUUAUUGUAACUUAUUUUCUCUCUCUUCCUUCCAUCUUUUAUCAAUCUCUUUCCAAAUUUAUUAUUAUAAUAAUAAUAAGGAAUGAAUUAUAAGGAUCA